AUUGAACGCUGGCGGCAGGCCUAACACAUGCAAGUCGAACGAGUGGCGGACGGGUGAGUAAUGUCUGGGAAUCUGCCUGAUGGAGGGGGAUAACUACUGGAAACGGUUGCUAAUACCGCAUACCAUCAGAUGUGCCCAUAUGGGAUUAGCUUGUUGGUGGGGUAACGGCUCACCAAGGCGACGAUCCCUAGCUGGUCUGAGAGGAUGACCAGCCACACUGGAACUGAGACACGGUCCAGACGCCUACGGGAGGCAGCAGUGGGGAAUAUUGCACAAUGGGAGCAAGCCUGAUGCAGCCAUGCCGCGUGUAUGAAGAAGGCCUUAGGGUUGUAAAGUACUUUCAGCGGGGAGGCGUUACCCGCAGAAGAAGCACCGACUAACUCCGUGCCAGCAGACGCGGUAAUAC
rnacentral:rRNA from 1 species